AAUCAACGCUGGCGGCGUGCCUCAGACAUGCAAGUCGAACGCGAAAGUCCCCUUCGGGGGAUGAUUAGAGUGGCGCACGGGUGAGUAACACGUAGGUAAUCUACCUUCGAGUGGGGAAUAACUCAGGGAAACUUGAGCUAAUACCGCAUAAUGCAGCGGCACCACAUGGUGACAGUUGUUAAAGCAUUUAUGCGCUUGAAGAGGAGCCUGCGGCGGAUAGCUAGUUGGUAAGGUAAUGGCUUACCAAGGCUACGAUCUGUAACCGGCCUGAGAGGGCGGACGGUCACACUGACACU
rnacentral:rRNA from 1 species